rnacentral:lncRNA from 1 species
CAGCAUAUCAGAAUGAGCUCUUAAGAGUACUUACUCUAAUUUUAAUCCCUUUGUUUUAGGAAGACUGACAGUCUUAAGGUUUAGAAGUUGCCACCUCUGAGCCGACUUCCACCAAAAUUCCCCAGAAGGUUGUGCAACCAUGUGAAAUUAGCAUCAAGACCUGGCAGGAAUACAGUUUGGGCAGGGCGAAUAUUUUACUGAUGUCAUCAGCUCCAGCAUGAAAGAAGCUGGCAUUUCAAACAACAGAAAUCUCAAGUGGAUCAGUACAAGCAGAAAGAGCACAGCAAGACUAUUUUCAAGGAACCCAAAUGUUUGAACACAUUCGCAUGUUUGUGAUGCCAGCAAAGAAUAGAUAAAAUUGCCUCCUUCAUCAGAUAUCUCCUCCAUCACCAUGUAGUAUUAGUGAGCCAAUCCACACUGUGCUGCCAACCAUGAGGUUG